GCACAGCAGCGGAGCGUGUGGUUUAAUUCGUUGCUACACGAAGAACCUUACCUGGGUUUGACAUAUAGGUUGUAGGGAACUGAAAAGGGACCGACCCUUCGGGGAGCCUAUACAGGUGUUGCAUGGCUGUCGUCAGCUCGUGUCGUGAGAUGUUCGGUUAAGUCCGCUAACGAGCGCAACCCUCGUCGUAUGUUAUAUGUGUCAUACGAGACUGCCGGUAAAAGCCGGAGGAAGGUGAGGAUGAUGUCAAGUCAGCAUGACCUUUAUAUCCAGGGCUACACACACGCUACAAUGGUCUGUACAAUGGGUAGCCAAGCCGCGAGGCGGAGCCAAUCCUGAAAGCAGGCCUCAGUUCAGAUUGCAGUCUGCAACUCGACUGCAUGAAGCCGGAGUUGCUAGUAACCGCAGGUCAGCAAUACUGCGGUGAAUACGUUCCCGGGUCUU
rnacentral:rRNA from 1 species